UUGGAGGGCAAGUCUGGUGCCAGCAGCCGCGGUAAUUCCAGCUCCAAUAGCGUAUAUUAAAGUUGUUGCAGUUAAAAAGCUCGUAGUUGAAUUUCGGGGUCAGUAGGUUGGUCAUGCCACCGGUAUGUACUGGUCUCACUGAUUCCUCCUUCCUGAUGAACUGUAAUGCCAUUAAUUUGGUGUUGCAGGGAAUCUGGACUGUUACUUUGAAAAAAUUAGAGUGUUUAAAGCAGGCUAACGCCUGAAUACAUUAGCAUUGAAUAAUGAAAUAGGACGUUCGAUCCUAUUUUGUUGGUUUCUAGGAUUGACGUAAUGAUUAAUAGGGAUAGUUGGGGGCAUUAGUAUUCAAUUGUCAGAGGUGAAAUUCCUGGAUUUAUUGAAGACUAACUACUGCGAAAGCAUUUGCCAAGGAUGUUUUCAUUAAUCAAGAACGAAGGUUAGGGGAUCGAAGACGAUCAGAUACCGUCGUAGUCUUAACCAUAAACUAUGCCGACUAGGGAUCGGAUGAUGUUAAUUUUUUAAUGACUCAUUCGGCGCCUUACGGGAAACCAAAGUGUUUGGGUUC
rnacentral:rRNA from 1 species